GCCGACUUAGCUCAGUGGUAGACCGUGUGGCUUUUAACCACGUGGUCGUGGGUUCGAUCCCCAUAGUCGGCG
rnacentral:tRNA from 1 species